rnacentral:rRNA from 1 species
GAUGAACGCUGGCGGCGUGCCUAAUACAUGCAAGUCGAGCGAACGGACGAGAAGCUUGCUUUUCUGAUGUUAGCGGCGGACGUGUGAGUAACACGUGGAUAACCUACCUAUAAGACUGGGAUAACUUCGGGAAACCGGAGCUAAUACCGGAUAAUAUUUUGAACCGCAUGGUUCAAAAGUGAAAGACGGUCUUGCUGUCACUUAUAGAUGGAUCCGCGCUGCAUUAGCUAGUUGGUAAGGUAACGGCUCACCAAGGCAACGAUGCAUAGCCGACCUGAGAGGGUGAUCGGCCACACUGGAACUGAGACACGGUCCAGACGCCUAAGGGAGGCAGCAGUAGGGAAUCUUCCGCAAUGGGCGAAAGCCUGACGGAGCAACGCCGCGUGAGUGAUGAAGGUCUUCGGAUCGUAAAACUCUGUUAUUAGGGAAGAACAUAUGUGUAAGUAAAUGUGCACAUCUUGACGGUACCUAAUCAGAAAGCCACGGCUAACUACGUG